rnacentral:rRNA from 1 species
UACGGGGGGGGCAAGCGUUGUUCGGAGUUACUGGGCGUAAAGGGCUCGUAGGCGGCCAACUAAGUCGGACGUGAAAUCCCCAGGCUCAACCUGGGAACUGCGUCCGAUACUGGAUGGCUUGAAUUCGGGAGAGGGAUGCAGAAUUCCAGGUGUAGCGGUGAAAUGCGUAGAUAUCUGGAGGAAUACCGGUGGCGAAGGCGGCAUCCUGGACCGACAUUGACGCUGAUGAGCGAAAGCUAGGGGAGCAAACGGG